rnacentral:rRNA from 3 species
AAUCCAUAGGUUAAUGAGGCGAACCGGGGGAACUGAAACAUCUAAGUACCCCGAGGAAAAGAAAUCAACCGAGAUUCCCCCAGUAGCGGCGAGCGAACGGGGAGGAGCCCAGAGCCUGAAUCAGCAUGUGUGUUAGUGGAAGCGUCUGGAAAGGCGCGCGAUACAGGGUGACAGCCCCGUACACAAAAGCGCAUGUGCUGUGAGCUCGAUGAGUAGGGCGGGACACGUGGUAUCCUGUCUGAAUAUGGGGGGACCAUCCUCCAAGGCUAAAUACUCCUGACUGACCGAUAGUGAACCAGUACCGUGAGGGAAAGGCGAAAAGAACCCCGGCGAGGGGAGUGAAAAAGAACCUGAAACCGUGUACGUACAAGCAGUGGGAGCACCCUUUGGGUGUGACUGCGUACCUUUUGUAUAAUGGGUCAGCGACUUAUAUUCUG